GUCGGCGGGACAUGCUUCACCGGCCCGGGCCACUCACCGAGGUUGAUGACCUUGAGCGCCGUGAAGAACUGGUCCUGCCGGGCCAGAUCGUGCCAGGGGGCCUUGGAGCAGUGGUACUUGAUGAAGGGGAAGCAGCCGAAAAGGAAUUUAUUGGAAGGAAAUUGGAUAGCUAAAAUAAUAAAUAGGACGUCUGCAGAACCAAGCUUAGAAAUGGGAAGGAAUCAAGAGAGACUGGCCGGCGAAGACAUAGGCUUGGGAAAAGGCUGAAGGAUUUCUGUUGGAAGACGCUGUCUUGGAAAAACCUCAGCAGUGAUGAGGGUUUCUCUAAUCAAAGGCUCUUUGAUUAUCUCUCUUUUCUACUCUAAGGCAACUUCAUAAUUCCAUCUUCCCAAAAAUUUUUAUCUUUUUGAGGUGCCUUUUACAGUCUUCCAGGGAAUUGAAAAUUUUUCCAUUAAGAGAAUUUUGUAAAGACUGAAAUAAAUGGAAAUCCGAAGGUGCAGUGUCUGGUGAAUAUGGCAGAUGAAUCAGAACUUCCCAGCCAAGCUGUAACAGUUUUUGUCUGGUCAUCAAAGAAACAUGCGGUCUUGCGUUAUCCUGAUGGCAGAUUAUGCAUUUUCUGUUGACUAUUCUGGAUGCUUUUCAUUGAGUGCUGCUUUCAGUUGGUCUAAUUGGGAGCAGUACUUGUUGGAAUGAAUGGUUUGGUUUUCCGGAAGGAGCUCAUAAUAGAGGACUCCCUUCCAAUCCCACCAUACAUACAUAUAACAUCACCUUCCUUGGAUGAAGACCCGCGUUUGGUGUGUUUGGUGGUGGUUCAUCUCGCUUGCCCCACAAUCUCUUCCUUUCCACAUUAUUGUACAGUAUCCACUUUUCAUCAUCCAUCACAAUUUGUUUUAAAAAUGGAACGUUUUCAUUACGUUUAAGUAGAUAAUCACAUGCAGAAAUACAGUCAAGAAGGUUUUUUUUGCUUAACUUACGUGGAACCCAAACAUCAAAGCAAUGAACAUAACCAAGCUGGUGCAAAUGAUUUUCAGCGCUUGAUCUGGAUAUUUUGAGUAUGUCCGCUAUCUCCCGCAUGGUAUAACGUUGAUUGUUCUCAAUUAAUGUCUCAAUUUGAUCGCUAUCAACUUCAACUGGUCUACCGCCUGACCGUGGAGCAUUGUCCAGUGAGAAAUCUCCAGCACAAAACUUGGCAAACUACUUUUGACAUGUUCGAUCAGUCACAGCACCUUCUCCUUCUCCAUACACUGCACAAAUCUUUUUUUGCGUUUCAGUUGCAAUUUUACCUUUCUUGAAAUAGUAAAGCAUAAUAUGCUGAAAAUGUUGCUUUCUUUCUUCUAUCUUCAAUAUUUAAAUGGCUACGCAAAAAUUCAUGAAUUUUUAAAAAACUAAUUAAUUUAUUUAUUUGGUUGCACCAGGCGGGCUCCUUAGUUGUGGCAUGCAUGUGGGAUCUAGUUCCCUGACCAGGGAUCAAACCCAGACCCCCUGCAUUGGGAGCAUGGAGUCUUAACCACUGUGCCACCAGGGAAGUCCCCCAAAUUCACCAAUUUUGAUAAGUUGUUUUUAAAUGCAUGCUGAUAUGACAGCUGUCACAAUACAGUCUAACAAAAUGGUUUCAAAUGAAGUUAAAGACAACAAGGCGCUACUAGAGCCAUCUUAUGAAAAAAACCCAAACGAACAUGUUGGCCAACCCAGUGCAUUGAUAGGACUCAAAACCCCAUGUUUGACCAUAGUUAAAAAGAGCCAUCUGAUUCUAGACUCAAAUGUAAAAGUUGCUGACACAAUUUAACAUCCUUUAGAUGUUACACAAUUAGUAAGGAAACAGGAAAUAGCAUUCUAGAUCCAAACUGUGGCCCAUCUACCCCAGGAGUCUGUCUGGCUCAAGGGAAAUUUGGGGGCAUACAUGAUGACUCUCAAAAAAAAAAAUGAUUUUUCACAACGGAAUCACUUGCAAAAUUUGUUGUAAAACAACUGUUUCUAUGCAUAUUGAAAGUACUUUUAUCUUUAAAACUGAAAGGCAUGCAAUAAGGAGUAAUAAGGAGUUUGGGUACCACCAACAAAGAUCCCAACUGUAAGCAAGUUAUCAAGCUCUAAAACUUGGAUUUUAUUCGGGGAACCUGAAUGAAGAGUAUGUAGGAAUUCUUUGGACUGCUUUUAUAGGUCAAAAAUUUUAUUCACAUUAAAAAGUUUAGUUUUGAAAACUGGGUUUUUAAUGGAGAGUGAAUCUGGCCAUAGUUUGGACAGGUAUGAGAAAUGCUGCUGCUGUGGGUAAUAGGCACAUUUAGUCCAAGCCAGCACUUCAGUGAACCACAUCUGUGGUUCAGCUCUUUCUUUUUAUUCCUUCUUGCUAUUUCGAAUAAAGCAAGAUGUUAAAGCUAACUACAUGCUCUAUUAAUUAUAUGAAGGUGAACUUGAGUCAUAUUUGUUACUGAAGAUGAUUAAUAAUUACCAGUUCUGCACAUGUUUCUAGUGCAUUUCAGUAAAUAAACAGGGUACAUUGUUGGGUAGUAAUUGAUUAAUUAGCACAUUCAUCCUACACAGCUCGAUGGUCUAAGGAUGCUGAGUUUGAGAUAUUGCUCAUAAUUAUUGCAAGAAACAAAUCUGUUCCAUUUCUCAGUUUAUUCUUCUGUAUGCUGAGAUUUUUUUUUUCUAAAUCGAAUGUUUAAUGGUUCAAAACCUUAUAGGUUUUAUUCAGAUAAAUCAACUCAUGAAAAAUUGCUAGUCAUAAUCUCAGAAUCUUGUUUUUGUGUGAACUAGGGUGAAAACUUUUACAAGGCUAAUUUUAACAUUAGAUCUUGCUGUUAAACUGGAUCAAGUACUGUAAAUAUAGGGCACUUUCCCCACCAUGCAGGAAAUGCUCAUUGAGCACCUAUGCGCAACAGGGGCACUGGAAUCUCAUUUGCUUCCCAACCACAUCAAAUAAGCUCAGGAUUGCAAGUGUCAUCGGGUUGGCACUUCGCAGCACCAAGCAAAUAUACUGUGUAAUCUUCAGAGAGGUGCAACAGCGUGUAUUGGUCACCAUUUUAACUAUGCAGCAAUUCAGGAUUUUUUUUUUCUAAUUUAUUGACCCAGCAUGUGGUUGAGAGAGAAUGUAGUUGAGAGAGUGUUGGACAGGGAGUCAGGAGUCCUGGGUUCUACUCUAUCUGUAUUUUUUCUUGAAGAAGCUCUGUGACUCUGGGCAUAUCAUUACUCCCUUCUCUAAGCAUGGAUCACUCAUCUGUAAAAUGAAGGCUUCUACCAGGGAUGAUGAGGUACAGUGAGGAGCCCAGACUGCAGAGAUAGAUAGACCUACGUUUGAAUCUGGGCUCCCUAUUACUGUUUUUUAUGAUUUUAGGGAAAUUAUGUAACCUCUCUGAGUUUCUGCUCUGUUUGCUUGAGUUUAUUGUAAGGACCAAAUGAUAUAUGAAAAUAGUUUGUGAACUAUAAAUUACCAUGUGAAUAUAAGGCAUUGUUACUAUUAUUAACUAUCUUAACUGGUUGUCAUUAACAUGAUAUGUGGAAGGAUGCAUCGAAAUGCCCACGUGCUGGUCUAACAAUAGAGGAUUAGUAACAUGCUUACGCCGUUAUUAAAAUGGCAUUGGGUAAGAAUUUCUGAUGUGUCUUCAUAAUUUAUUGCUAAGUGAAAAACACAGUCUGCAAAACAGUAUGUCUGAUGUAAUCCUAUUUAAAAAAUUAUAUACACAAAGAUAUAAUAGGAACUCAAUAUAUAUGUGAUAAAAGAACAAAUUAUAUAUAUAUAUUAACUGAGUGACUCUUUCUACUGAUAGGUACUGUUCUAGGAGCUGGGCUAUAUCUUUAUACUUACAGUCCUUUGGGUGAGACAGAUAAUUAAAAAAUAGGCAAAUCUAUUAUGUAAUACCACAUAUUGUUAAGUGCUUUGGAGAAAAAUAAAGGAGGGUAAGGUGUUAGAGAAUAAGGGAGUGCUAAUUAGGAAGGGUGGUCAGGAAGGGCCCCUCUGGUCUACUGACAGUUGAGCAGAGACUGAAUGCAGUGAGUGAGCCCCAGAAAUUUCUGGGAGAAGAGUGUGCCAGGCAGAAGUUAGAAAUGUAGAGGCCCUAGGCAGGAGUAA